AUUGAACGCUGGCGGCAGGCCUAACACAUGCAAGUCGAACGGUAGCACAGAGAGCUUGCUCUCGGGUGACGAGUGGCGGACGGGUGAGUAAUGUCUGGGAAACUGCCUGAUGGAGGGGGAUAACUACUGGAAACGGUAGCUAAUACCGCAUAACGUCGCAAGACCAAAGAGGGGGACCUUCGGGCCUCUUGCCAUCAGAUGUGCCCAGAUGGGAUUAGCUAGUAGGUGGGGUAACGGCUCACCUAGGCGACGAUCCCUAGCUGGUCUGAGAGGAUGACCAGCCACACUGGAACUGAGACACGGUCCAGACUCCUACGGGAGGCAGCAGUGGGGAAUAUUGCACAAUGGGCGCAAGCCUGAUGCAGCCAUGCCGCGUGUAUGAAGAAGGCCUUCGGGUUGUAAAGUACUUUCAGCGGGGAGGAAGGAGAUAAGGUUAAUAACCUUGUCGAUUGACGUUACCCGCAGAAGAAGCACCGGCUAACUCCGUG
rnacentral:rRNA from 1 species